rnacentral:rRNA from 1 species
UACGGAGGGUGCAAGCGUUAUCCGGAAUCACUGGGUUUAAAGGGUGCGUAGGCGACUUGAUAAGUCAGAGGUGAAAGCCCACGGCUCAACUGAGGAACUGCCUUUGAUACUGUCAGGCUUGAAUUGGGUUGAGGCAGGCGGAAUGUGGCAUGUAGCGGUGAAAUGCUUAGAUAUGCCAUAGAACACCAAUUGCGAAGGCAGCCUGCCAAGCCUUGAUUGACGCUGAGGCACGAAAGCGUGGGGAGCGAACAGG